rnacentral:rRNA from 1 species
UACAGAGGGUGCGAGCGUUAAUCGGAAUUACUGGGCGUAAAGCGUGCGUAGACGGUUAUGUAAGUUAGGUGUGAAAGCCCCGGGCUCAACCUGGGAAUUGCAUUUAAGACUGCAUAGCUAGGGUGCGGAAGAGGGAAGCGGAAUUUCCGGUGUAGCGGUGAAAUGCGUAGAUAUCGGAAGGAACAUCAGUGGCGAAAGCGGCUUCCUGGUCCAGCACCGACGUUCAGGCACGAAAGCGUGGGGAGCAAACAGG